AUUGAACGCUGGCGGCAGGCCUAACACAUGCAAGUCGAACGAGUGGCGGACGGGUGAGUAAUGUCUGGGAAACUGCCUGAUGGAGGGGGAUAACUACUGGAAACGGUAGCUAAUACCGCAUACCAUCGGAUGUGCCCAGAUGGGAUUAGCUUUGUGGUGGGGUAACGGCUCACCAAGGCGAAGAUCCCUAGCUGGUCUGAGAGGAUGACCAGCCACACUGGAACUGAGACACGGUCCAGACUCCUACGGGAGGCAGCAGUAGGGAAUAUUGCACAAUGGGCGAAAGCCUGAUGGAGCCAUGCCGCGUGUAUGAAGAAGGCCUUCGGGUUGUAAAGUACUUUCGGCGGGGAGGCGGUACCCGCAGAAGAAGCACCGGCUAACUCCGUGCCAGCAGCCGCGGUAAUAC
rnacentral:rRNA from 1 species